AUUGAACGCUGGCGGCAUGCCUUACACAUGCAAGUCGAACGGCAGCACGGGUGCUUGCACCUGGUGGCGAGUGGCGAACGGGUGAGUAAUACAUCGGAACGUACCUUAUCGUGGGGGAUAACGCAGCGAGAGCUGUGCUAAUACCGCAUACGCCCUGAGGGGGAUAGCGGGGGAUCGAAAGACCUCGCGCGAUUAGAGCGGCCGAUGCCUGUUUAGCUUGUUGGUGGGGUAAAAGCCCACCAAGGCGACGAUCAGUAGCUGGUCUGAGAGGACGAUCAGGCACACUGGGAAUGAGAGACGGCACAGACUCCUACGGGAGGCAGCAGUGGGGAAUUUUGGACAAUGGGGGCAACCCUGAUCCAGCAAUGCCGCGUGAGUGAAGAAGGCCUUCGGGUUGGAAAGCUCUUUUGUCAGGGAAGAAACACCGGCUCUAACACAGUCCGGGAAUGACGGUACCUGAAGAAUAAGCACCGGCUAACUACGUGCCAGCCGCCGCGGUAA
rnacentral:rRNA from 1 species